ensembl:lncRNA
GACUCCACUGUUUUAUUUUUUAAUGUUAACUUUUCAGUUAGUUAAUUAUGUAUGUUUAAGCCCUUACUUUCUCUCUUAGUAACAACUUUAAGACAGAAGGGCAAAGGGUUAAGUGACUUGCCCAGGGUUAUGUGACUGGGAAGUGCCUGAAACCAGAUUUGAAUCUAGUUCCUCUUGAUUUGAUUGAAUCUAGCAGAUCUUGAUUUACAUAAAUAUCCUCUGUCCCCUCCAUGGAGGGCCUGGGCAUCUGAGGUCCCUAACAUGCCAUUUUCAGAGCUGUCCCACUUUGGUCUUCCUUUUGUUCUCUUCUCUGCAUUUAAAAAAAUACUUCAAUGACUCACUUUUUCUUCUUGAUGACUCUGUUGCGAGUCCCCCUUCUCCUCCAAUUCCCUAUCUCCAAAAAAAAAAAAAAGGAAAUUCAAGUCUUUGUCUACAAAUAUAUAUAACUGAACAAGCCAAAUUCAUGUGUCGGUCAUGUAUGGAAUAUAGAUGUUUUUCUGUGUCCUGAGUCCAUCACAUGCGUGAGUGGCAGGGCUUCAUCAACAGCGCUUCAGAUCUGGGAAGAUGCCCAGCUCUUCAAGGGGAUGACAAGUGGGGCCUGGAGCACUGUACGAGGAGCUGUCGCUAGUCGUCCUGACUAUGUGUCUGCCCACUGGACUGGAUGAUUUCUGAGGGAGAGAGUGAGGCUGAUGACUUGGUGCAACUCUGCUUCACUUAAAUCCAAUUUAUGUUGGAGUCAAAAGGGAUCAUCCAGCGAUGUCAUGUUGGUCUUCUUCAAGUAGGAAGGACAACAUACAUGGAGCUGAGACACAGGAUGCCUUGAUUCUUGGAACCUCUAAGGCCCUUGUCUGGUUCCUCCAGGUGCCCAGAGAUUUACAGAUGAGGAUUACCCCGACUAUGAGAACAUCUCAAUACCCUCAAGGAGCAAGGAUGGUGCUCUGGAGAGUCAAUCAGUGCCCAUCCAGUGUGCCCCGAGCAAACGCCCAGGACCCUCCUCCACGCAGAAAUUGAUCCUGUGUCUUUACCUCCUCCUGGGCCUGAGCUUCCUGCUGGGCAUUAUUCUCUUGUCCCUGGUCCUGGUGAAAAGCUCUGAGUUUUCCCAGAAGCUCAACAUUUUGAAGUGGGAGCUGAGGAAUGUUUCUAGCACCCUCCACAAGGAGCAUGAGAACAUAAAGAAAUUGGAGACUGAGAUUGCUGCAAUAAAUAAAAAAACUAAUUCCUAUGAAAAGAUGGCAAGCCAGCUUAGAUCAGACCUGACCAAAAAUACUAAUACCUUGGAUCGUUUGAAGAAUCAAGUGGAAAAUUUGAAUAAGGCUCCACAACCAGGACCAAAUCCCAGUGCUAAUUCAACCUGAUAAUGAAGGAGACAAGGCUUCCAUCUGGGAAACGGGGCUUGUCCUAGAAGUUGGUGAGGCUGGAUCCCUCUGGCCUCAGUUUCCCUCUUGUGAUAUGGGUGUGUUUGUGUACUUGUGAUCAGUAUGUAAUGUGCUUUAAGGUACUCAAAGGAAAAGAAAAAUUAAACUUUGGACAUCAUUCUCCAGAUCAUGUCUAGUGCACAGUUUUAUUGGGUGUGUCCAGGGUGG